rnacentral:rRNA from 1 species
CUACGGGACGCUGCAGUGGGGAAUAUUGGACAAUGGGCGCAAGCCUGAUCCAGCAAUACCGCGUGUGUGAAGAAGGCCUGCGGGUUGUAAAGCACUUUCAAUUGUGAAGAAAAGCGAGAGGUUAAUAGCCUUUUGUCUUGACGUUAACUUUAGAAGAAGCACCGGCUAACUCUGUGCCAGCAGCCGCGGUAAUACAGAGGGUGCGAGCGUUAAUCGGAAUUACUGGGCGUAAAGCGUGCGUAGGCGGUUUAGUAAGUCAGAUGUGAAAGCCCUGGGCUCAACCUGGGAACUGCAUUUGAAACUGCUGAACUAGAGUGUGGUAGAGGGAAGUGGAAUUCCGGGUGUAGCGGUGAAAUGCGUAGAUAUCCGGAGGAACACCAGUGGCGAAGGCGACUUCCUGGACCAACACUGACGCUGAGGUACGAAAGCGUGGGUAGCAAACAGGAUUAGAUACCCUGGUAGUC